rnacentral:rRNA from 1 species
UACGUAGGGGGCCAGCGUUGUCCGGAUUUACUGGGCGUAAAGCGUGCGUAGGCGGAAGUUUAAGUGUGGCCUGAAAGCCCCCGGCUCAACCGGGGAGGGUGGCUGCAAACUGGGCUUCUUGAGGGCGAUAGAGGAGAGUGGAAUUCCGGGUGUAGCGGUGAAAUGCGUAGAUAUCCGGAGGAACACCAGUGGCGCAGGCGGCUCCCUGGGUCGGCCCUGACGCUGAGGCACGAAAGCGUGGGGAGCGAACGGG